rnacentral:rRNA from 1 species
UGGGGAAUAUUGCACAAUGGGGGAAACCCUGAUGCAGCGACGCCGCGUGAAGGAAGAAGUAUCUCGGUAUGUAAACUUCUAUCAGCAGGGAAGAAAAUGACGGUACCUGACUAAGAAGCCCCGGCUAACUACGUGCCAGCAGCCGCGGUAAUACGUAGGGGGCAAGCGUUAUCCGGAUUUACUGGGUGUAAAGGGAGCGUAGACGGAGCAGCAAGUCUGAUGUGAAAGGCGGGGGCUCAACCCCCGGACUGCAUUGGAAACUGUUGAUCUUGAGUACCGGAGAGGUAAGCGGAAUUCCUAGUGUAGCGGUGAAAUGCGUAGAUAUUAGGAGGAACACCAGUGGCGAAGGCGGCUUUCUGGACGAAAACUGACGCUGAGGUACGAAAGCGUGGGGAGCAAACAGGAUUAGAUACC